rnacentral:lncRNA from 1 species
ACUAGUCUAUAACUAUUAAUCCACCCUCAAAUCUAUUUAUAGUAAAAUUAACUAUUAUUGUUUCAUAGUACUAUUUUUGGAAAUAUUAUUUUGAUAGUACUUUGCUAACAUCUAUGAAAUUCCACUCCAUUGCACGAGCCAGAUUGCUUGUCACAUUUUUUUUCUUUUAUUUUCUUCUUUGAAAGUUGUUACUAUCAAAUCCCACGCCUA